rnacentral:rRNA from 1 species
GACGAACGCUGGCGGCGUGCUUAACACAUGCAAGUCGAACGGAAAGGCCUCUUUCGGGGGGUACUCGAGUGGCGAACGGGUGAGUAACACGUGAGUAACCUGCCCUUGACUUUGGGAUAACUUCAGGAAACUGGGGCUAAUACCGGAUAGGAGCUCCUGCUGCAUGGUGGGGGUUGGAAGGUUUCGGCGGUUGGGGAUGGACUCGCGGCUUAUCAGCUUGUUGGUGGGGUAGUGGCUUACCAAGGCUUUGACGGGUAGCCGGCCUGAGAGGGUGACCGGCCACAUUGGGACUGAGAUACGGCCCAGACUCCUACGGGAGGCAGCAGUGGGGAAUAUUGCACAAUGGGUGGAAGCCUGAUGCAGCAACGCCGUGUGCGGGAUGACGGCCUUCGGGUUGUAAACCGCUUUCGCUCAUGACGAAGCUUUGUGUGACGGUAGUGGGUAAAGAAGCACCGGCUAACUACGUG